GGGCGGAUACCCAAGUGGCCAAAGGGAGCUGACUGUAAAUCAGUUGUCAAACGACUUCGGCGGUUCGAAUCCGUCUCCGCCCA
rnacentral:tRNA from 1 species